CCUACGGGAGGCAGCAGUGGGGAAUUUUGGACAAUGGGCGCAAGCCUGAUCCAGCCAUGCCGCGUGUGGGAAGAAGGCCUUCGGGUUGUAAGCCACUUUUGUCAGGGAAGAAACGGCCUUUUCUAAUACAGAGGGCUAAUGACGGUACCUGAAGAAUAAGCACCGGUUAACUACGUGCCAGCAGCCGCGGUAAUACGUAGGGUGCAAGCGUUAAUCGGAAUUACUGGGCGUAAAGCGUGCGCAGGCGGCUUUGCAAGACAGAUGUGAAAUCCCCGGGCUCAACCUGGGAACUGCAUUUGUGACUGCAUGGCUAGAGUACGGUAGAGGGGGAUGGGAAUUCCGCGUGUAGCAGUGAAAUGCGUAGAUAUGCGGAGGAACACCGAUGGCGAAGGCAAUCCCCUGGACCUGUACUGACGCUCAGGCACGAAAGCGUGGGGAGCAAACAGGAUUAGAUACCCUGGUAGUCCACGCCCUAAACGAUGUCAACUGGUUGUUGGACGGCUUGCUGUUCAGUAACGAAGCUAACGCGUGAAGUUGACCGCCUGGGGAUACGGCCGCAAGGUUGAAACUUAAAGGAAUUGACGG
rnacentral:rRNA from 1 species